UUUUUUUAAAAUGUUUUAUUUAUCUUUGAGAGAGAGACAGAGUGCGAGUGGGUUGGGGCAGAGAGAGAGAGGGAGGCACAGAAUCUGAAGCAGGCUUCAGACUCUGAGCUGUCAGCACAGAGCCCGACGCGGGGCUCGGACUCACGGAUCGUGAGAUCAUGACCUGAGCUGAAGUGAGAAGCUUAACGGACUGAGCCACCCAGGCGCCCCCAAUAGAUGUUCAUUUUUACCUUUAAAAUGGCCCAUUCUUCAGUCGAGUUUGAGUACGUGCUGUGAACUGUCCCACCCCCGGCCAGCCACCCGGCUCUCUUCCCAGAAGGGUUAGUGUGACCCAGUGCUUGAGUGUCUGUCUGGGAACAGUUUCUGUGUGAUGAUACGCACGGACCUUUUUCCACUUAGAUGCUUCAUGGAGAUCAUUCCAAUUCCGAACAAAAGUGCUCCCCGACUCUGCUGUCCACAUGUGCCUUAAUCUUCCCAGCCCGCCCCAUGUUGGUGCACAAUUAGGUUGUUACCAAUUUUUUUUUUUUUAUAUAGUAUAAGCUGUUUUUUGUGUGAGUGUUACUAUUCGUGUAGGAGGAAUUUCAGGAAUUGUAAUCACCUGGCCAAGUAGAGCGUGUCAGGUAUAGGUAGCUGUUGGCAAGUUCCCGGGAGGAAGUUGAAUCGGUUGUUGAAGGCUGGUCCCCAAAGCGUGGGAGCGUGCACACCCUCUCCACGCAGCCCAUGGGUCUUAAGGUGAAAAACCGAAUCUUACUGCUGUUUGCAUUUGUAUUUCAGAUGGCUGGUUUUUUUAGUUUUUCUUGCAAUCAUGUUGCCAUUUCAUGCAAAACGGCUGAAACUUGUUUUGAAAGAUUGGUGGUAGCUUGUUCCUGGCAACCGUCAUAGCAUAUUCUCUGAAGAGAGGGUGCCUGUGAGUCUCGGUGACUUCUGUUCACCAAGGCAGUGGUGGAGAGGACAGCACCGACAUUUGUUAAGUCUCAGAGUGAACCGCCUUCCCCAAAUUCAUCCGUGGAACCCAGCCCCCAGUGUGAUGCUGUCGGGAGGCCAUGAGGUCAGGAGGGCGGAGCCUCGUGAUGCGAUUGGAGCCCUUGCCCCUUGCGCCCCGCAGGGACACAGCAAGAAGACGGCCGUCUGUGCCCUGGUCAUGGAGCUCCAGCGUCCAGGACUGUGAGAAACCAGGGGGUGUUUGUAAGCCCCCCAGCCUGUGGUGGUUUCGUCCUAGCAGCCUGGAUGAACUAAGAUAGUACUGUAUGUACGUGAUUUUAAAAGUCAGUUACCAGACCACUUCUCCACUUACCCACCUCCAGGUUUGGCUCAUCAAAGGCAACCACUUUCAAAUCUUUAUUUCCCUCCAUAUUUCUUUUUUUAAUAUAUAAUUUUAUUUAUUUAUUUUAGAGCGUGAAUCAGGGAGAGGGCCAGAGGGCAAGAGAGAGAAUCCCAAGCAGGCCCCACACUCAGCAAGGAGCCCAACGCAGGGCUCAAUCUCACCACCCAGGGAUCAUGACCUGAGCGGAAAUCAAGAGUUGGAUGCUCAGGGCGCCUGGAUGGCUCAGUCGGUUGAGCGUCCGACUUCAGCUCAGAUCAUGAUCUCAUGGUUUGUGGGUUCGAGCCCUGUGUCGGGCUCUGUGCUGACGGCUCAGAGCCUGGAGCCUGCUUUGGAUUCUGUGUCUCCCUCUCUCUGUGCCCCUCCCCCGUUUGUGCUGUGUCUCAAAAAUAAACAUUAAGAAAAAAAAUUUUUUUAAGUGAGAUGCUCACCUGAGCCACCCAGGCGCCCCUGUUUUCUUCCGUGUUUCUAAACAACCUGCUUAUAUUCUUUCUUUCUUGAUUUCUUUCUUUUUGUUAAGUUUAUUUAUUUUGAGACAGAGAGGAGGGGAGGGACAGAGAGAGAGAAUCCCAAGCAGUCUCUGCAGUGACAGCGCAGAGCCCAAUGAAGGGCUCGAUCCCAGGAGCCAUGAGAUCACAACCUGAGCCAAAAUCUAGUGGGAUGCUCAACUGACCGAGCCACCCAGGCACAAACGUCUGACAGCGUGCUCGUGGGCAAAGGCCCCUUUAUGUAAUGGAGAGCCUUGGAUGAACAACGCCCGUACACAGGCUGGAUGCACAUCCACACCAGCACCUUCAGCCCAGGACCCACCCACAUGUAUGAAAUUAACUCAUCGUAGGGCCUCUUGGGCAAAUGAAUGAAAUAAAUGCUUUUCUCCUACUCUCAGGUUUUGUCAUGUAAGUUGUGGGGUUAACGCCUGUUGGGUCGCACAGAGGGUGGUUAACCAGAAGUCACAUUAUUCUGAUUUUCUGAUUUGUUCCAUUCAAGUGUUUCAAAGAUGUGUGUGCAGAACAGGGAGCGAAGCUUGACAUCUCAAGGCUCACUAGCAGGGGUGAAGAGUAGGGGUCCCUCCUGCAAGCCGGAAGCAUCUUCCACGAUGGUCCUCAGGUUUCCUCUUUUGUUUUAAAGCAUUGUUUAAAAAUUGUGCUAAAAUAUACAUAACAAAAGUUUACCACCUUCACCACUGUUUGGUCAGCGCAGGGAUGUUAGGUGCAUUCGCUCUGGAAGCACACGUCACCACCGCCUGCCGUUCACCGAACUCUGCCACCUUCCCCAGUCGGAGCUCUGUCCCCACGAAGCCAACUGCCCGCCCGGCCCGAGCCCCCGCACCGCCCAUCCGGCUUCCGUCUCCACGGAUCCCACUCUUCGGGGGACCUCGUACGCGUGGGACCCUCGGAGUGUCCUGUUGUCACCGGCUUCCUGCACUUGGCAGGGUGUCCUCCGGGUCCAUCCGUGUUGUACCAGCUGCCACUACUUCCUUCCCGUCUUAAGCUUCAAUAACACCCCCUCGCGUGGACGGCCCACACGGUUUCGUGGAUUCAUCCACCGAGGGGCACCUCGCUGGCUUCCACCUCUCGGCUGUUGUGAGGGAUGCUGCCGUGCGCACAGGUGCACACGUACCUGUUCGUGUCCUUUUAGUUCUUUUGGGCGUCUGCUCCCCGGAUGGAGUUGCUGGGUCACGUGGUAAGGCCAUUGCUGAGUCUUUGAGGAACCGCCGUGCUGUUUUCCACGGCAGCUGCACCUUUCACACCCCCGCUGACCGUGCACAGGGUCCCCGUUUCUCCACGUCCUCGCCAACACUUACUAACUCAUCUUUGUUAUUUAUUUACGUAUUUAUAUUAAAAGGGAAUAUUUAUUUUUUUAUUUAAAUCCAAGUUCGUGGGGUGCCUGGGUGGCUCAGUCGGUUGAGUGUCCGACUUCAGGUCGUGAUCCCUCGGUUCAUGGGUUCGAGCCGUAUGUCAGGCUCUGUGCUGACAGCUCAGAGCCUGGAGCCUGCUUCGGAUUCUGUGUCUCCCCCUCUCUCUGCCCUCCCCCGUUCUCACUCUGUCUGUCUGUCUCUCUCUGUCUCUCUCAGAAAUAAACAUUAAAAACAAACAACCAAGUUAGUUAACACAGAGUGUAAUAGUUUCAGGAGUAGAAUUUAGUGAUUCAUCGCUUACAUGCAACACCCGAUGCUCACCCCAACAAGUGUCCUCCUUAAUGCGUCUCACCCUUUACGCAUCCCCCCACCCACAACCCCUCCAGUAGCCCUCAUUUCUCUGUAUUUAAGAGUCUCCUAGGGUUUGUCUCCCUCUCUGUUUUUAUCUCAUUUUUGCUUUCCUUACCUUAUGUGCCUCUGUUUUGUUUCUUAAAUUCCACAGAUGAGUGAAAUCAUACGAUAUUAGUCUUUCUCUGACUUAUUUUGCUUAGCAUAAUACCCUCCAGUUCCAUCCACGUAGGCGCAAAUGGCAAGAUGUCAUUCUUUUUCAUCACCAACUAAUAGUCCCUUGUAUGUAUAUACCACAUCUUUAUCCAUUCAUCCAUCGAUGGACAUUUGGGCUCUUUCCAUACUUUGGCUAGUGUUGAAACUGCUGCUACAAACAUGGGGUGCGUGUGUCCCUUCGAAACAGCACACCUGUAUCCCGUGGAUAAACGCCUAGUAGUGCAAUUGCUGGGUCGUAGGGUCGUUCUAUUUUUAGUUUUUUGAGGAACCUCCAUACUGUUCUCCAGAGCGGCUGCACCAGCUUGCGUUCCCACCAACAAUGCGAAAGAGUUCCUCUUUCUCCGCAUCCUCGCCAACAUCCGUUGUUGCCUGAGUUGUUAAUGUGAGCCGUUCUGACAGGGGUGAGGGGAUAUCUCAUUGUGGUUUUGAUUUGCAUUUCCCUGAUGAUGAAGUUGAGCAUUUUUUCAUGUGUCGGUUGGCCAUCUGGAUGUCUUUCUUGGAAAAGUGUCUAUUCAUGUCUUUGCCCAUUUCUUCACUGGAUUAUUUGUUUUUUGGGUGUUGAGCUUGAUCAGUUCUUUGUAGAUUUUGGAUACUAACCCUUUAUCUGAUGUGUCGUUUGCAAAUAUCUUCUCCCAUUCCGUCGGUUGCCUUUUAGUUUUGCUGAUUGUUUCCUUCGCUGUGCAGAAGCUUUUUAUUUUGAUGAGGUCCCAGCAGUUCAUUUCUGCUUUUGUUUCCCUUGCCUCCGGAGGCGUGUUGAGUAAGAAGUUGCUUCAGGCAAGGCCAAAGAGGUUUUUGCCUGUUUUCUUCUCGAGGAUUGUGAUGGCUUCCUGUCUUACAUUUGAGGUCUUUCGUCCAUUUUGAGUUUAUUUUUGUGUAAGAAAGUGGUCCAGGUUCGUUCUUCUGCCUGUCGCCGUCCAGUUUUCCCAGCACCGUUUGCUGAAGAGACUGUCUUUAUUCCAUGGGUGUUCUUUCCUGCUUUGUCAAGAUUAGUUGGCCAUACGUCGGUGGGUCCAUUCCUGGGUUCUCUAUUCUGCUCCGUUGAUCUGAGUGUCUGUGCUUGUGCCAGUACCGUACUGUCUUGCUGAUUACAGCUUUGUAAUACAGCUUGAAGUCCAGGAUUGGGAUGCCUCCUGCUUUGGUUUUCUUUUUCAAGGUCGCUUUGGCUAUUCGGGGUCUUUUCUGGUUCCAUACACGUUUUAGGAUUGUCUGUUCCAGCUCCGGGAAGAGUGCUGGUGUUGUUUUCAUCGGGAUCGCCUUCAUCUUUCUCUUAAUAACAACCCACCCUGAUGGGUGUGAAGUUCCAGGUCUCCCUUUAAGAUAAGCUCCCAGUGCUGACGAGAGUGAGUGCAGGGUGGUGUUCCUCUAGUGUUAGUGUGCACGUGAUUCCUCCAGGGAAGCGUGUGGGAAUUCUGAUUCGGGAGAUCUGGGGUGGGACCUGAUAGUCUGCGUUUCUGGCAGGCACCAGGCAUGCCGAUGGUGGAAGCUGCUGGCCGAGGGCCAUGCCGUGAGUGGCAAAGAUGGGUGGGGGGAAGCAGGUGGGCUUGGGGUGAAGCAGACCUCGAUGUAGCUGCAGCCACCCCAGCCUCCUCCUCUGUGAACUGAGAGCCCUGCUCUCUACUGGAAGUGCCAAGUGCAGGGCUCAGACGCCAGCACAGAAGAAAUGACAGCCUUCCUCAGCAGCUGCUGCUUGGCCCGUCCCUGAAGCAGAAGGAGGAGGGGGGUGCCCCUGUGCUGUCAUCAGGCACGUAGACGAGAUGGGGGCAUAGGGACCACGGGUCACCUCCAGGCUGCAGGCUCCGGAGCCCGACCUUCCUCCAGCCAUUGGUGCCUCGGAGUUUCGGGAGAGCAAGAAGGGCCUCGCUGCUCGGUCAGUGAACACCGAUCACGGGCCCGCCCGGUUUCACGAUGGUGUGCAAAGUACAGGUGCAGGAGUGCGGUGAGCUGAAGCAGGCGACGACGUCCUGGCACGGGAAGGGGGGCCUUGCCUCAGGGCUGUCACACUGCUGCCUCUCCCUCCUGCCCAGUGACCAGAGCGGGACCAGAGCUCAGUGUUCCCGGGUCUCCCGCACAGUGAUCCUCAGAGCCUUCGGCUGCCCAGCUCGUCCACCUCUGGCCACGUGGCCCCAGCCUGCGUGUCAGGGACUAAGUUCUUCUGUGAAUUAUUUCACUUAUGCUCACGAGAGACCGUUGCCUUAAGCUGCCAAGGCAGCUCAAUGGGGCAUGCUCGGUGUCCUUCAGUUGGACAUGCUGGGCCCUGGGAACCGGCCCAGCCUCACCAGGCAUUCCCAUCUGGAGAGAAUGAUCUGAGGCCGAUGGCCCAGAGCUGGGGGCUGGCAAGUGUUUCCGGGCCCGGGACCUUUGGGAGCUGCCUGCUGAGGGGAGGGAGAGCUGGACCACACCCCAUAAUCACUGCUGGGGGAUACUGCCCGUCCCCUCCUGAUGUCUCUUUCUUCUCCCAGGGCCACUGUUUCUUUGUAAAGUUUUUCCGUUUGUUGAGAAAUGUUUGAUGCACAUAAAUUAUGAACACAGAUCAUACAGUCAUUUGAAGUAUCAAAAUAUGGCCCCGCAGCCACCACCACUCACUUGACACUAACCAGUCCUCUGACCACCGUCCCUCCUGGGUCUGCUCACCAGAAUGCCGGUUGGUGGGUGGGCUGUGCUGUUCCUGUGUCCCUAUCGCUGGUGGCCCUGCUGUCCCUGUGUCCCUAUCGCUGGUGGCCCUGUCAUCGGUGGCCCAGUCCCUGUGGCCCUGCUGUCCUUGUGGCCCUGUCCCUGUGACACUGUCCCUAUGGCCCCGCGAUCCCUGUGGCCCUGUCUCUGUGGCCCUGCUGUCUCUGUGGCCUGGUCCCUGUGGCCCCCUCCCUGUGGUCCUAUCCUGUGACCCGGUCCCUGUGGCCCUGCUGUCCCUGUGGUUCUGUCCUUGUGGCCCUCUCCCUGUAGUCCUGUCCUGUGGCCCAGUCCCUGUGAUCCUGUCCCUGUGGUCCUGUCCCUGUGGCCCAGUCCCUGUGGACAUGCUGUCUCUGUGGCCCUGUCAUCUGGCCCGGUCCCUGUGGCCCUGUCCCUGUGAUCCUGUCCCUGUGGUCCUCUCCCUGUGGUCCUGUCCUAUGGCCUGGUCCCUGUGGCCGUGCUGUCCCUGUGGUUCUGUCCCUGUGGCCCUCUCCCUGUAGUCCUGUCCUGUGGCCCUGUCCCUGUGUCCUGGUCCCUGUGGCCCUGUCCCUGUGGCCCGGUCCGUGUGGCCCUUUUGUCCCUGUGGCCCUGUCAUAUGGCCCGGUCCCUGUGGCCCUGUCCCAGUGAUCCUGUCCCUGUGGCCCUGCUGUCCCUGUGGUCCUGUCCCUGUGGCCCAGUCCCUGUGGUGCUGUGGUCUUCUGAGCCUUGCUGUUCGCACACACGCUUCCGUCUCUAAGGGCUGCACUGUCUACUUUGCAGGACAGAUUCAGUGUCACGGAUCCAGCACCAACUUGGCUGGAGCUGAGCAUCUGAAACCGCCAAGUACCUGCUGACAUCCCAGGAAGGAAGUAGCUGUGUGACCUUCUCAUCAUCACAAAACAGAGGCUCUACAGCCAUUGGAUCUCCUUCUAAGUUGUCAGGGGAGGCAGGAGGCGACCCCAUCCUCAGGAGAUUGACAGCCUACCUGUGGAGAUGAGGACCCGCAGUGACAUUGUGGGGCUGCACGCAAGGUGAAAGUGUGGUCUCGUGUUCAAGAAGUAGGCAGAAUUUCGAGACGAGCCCAGCAGGGCAUCUCCCUGUGCCCGUGGCCUUCCACGGGGUCGGCCCCCCCGACAGAGCGCCUGGGAGGGAACGGCUUCUGCCCACGCCUUCGCCGCCCCUGUCUGCGUGGUCCCAGCUCCUCCUCUUGAGAUCAGCGGCGUUUUCUCAGAACCGUGGGGUCCCGCUCAUAGACACCCGUGUCGGCCGCGAUGCAGGAAGAGAGAGCAGGCUUGAAUCUCCACCCUCCUCUGGCCGCUGGCUGCUCCAUUCCCACCAGGCCCUUCCUUUGGGGCCUGUUCGAGGCGCCGUGCCUGGCACGGAGCAGGUACCUACUGUCUCCUCUCGUCCGUCAGCAGAAAGAGCACAAAACAGGACUUUACUUACAGGCUUUUUGAGUUUAUGUAUUUAUUUUGAGAGAGAGAGAGAGAGAGAGGCGGGGAGGGCAGAGAGAGGAGAGAGAGAGAAUCCCAAGCAGGCUCCACACUGGCAGCACAGAGCCCAACACAGGGCUCGAACUCGCGAACCACGAGAUCGUGACCUGAGCCAAAACUGGGAGUCAGACGCUUAACCGACUGAGUCAUCCAGGUGCCCCUAUUUACAGGCUUUUAAUCCAUUUUUUAUUUGUUUAUGCUUAAGGUUUGUCUUGGGGCCACGUGAGGUGCAGGGUGACGGGGGGUGCGGCGAUGGGGCUGUGGUGCUGAGGACGAGGAGGGGACAGACGUGGAUUUCUGAGCCCGGUCCAGGGAAGGCCAGCGGCUGCCUGUCCUGAUGUCGGGGAGACUGAGGCGCUGCCCCGACCGGUACCCCACCCAUCCCCGCAGAGCAGAGCUGUGGUCUCCAGCAAGAAAGGAGCGUGAGGGUUCUGGGGUCCGGGGGAGGCUGCCUGAUUCAGGCCCUGGUCCCGCCGUGUUGCAGCCGGGGGCCCCCGAGCGGGUGAGUCCUCCUCCCGUGCCUGUGCUCCCGUCCCUGAACCGGAGCUAGGACAGCGCCAGCCUCCGAGCCCAAAGGUCUGACUCCUGGAAGGCUGCUCACAGCACACGGGCACCUAAGGGGCCACAUCUGUGUUCCACUGUUGACAUCAGAUUACACGGUUUUAAAAGGGGGGCUGAGUUGUCCUCUGAAAAUUUGCAUGUUGACAUCUUGACUCCCAGGACCUCGAGAUGUGACUUUAUUUGGAGACAGGGUCUUUGAAGUGGCGAUUAAGUUAAAAUGAGGUCAGCAGGACGGACCCUGAUCCCAGUGACUGAGGGAGAGAAGGAGAUCAGGCACAGAUGUGCUCUGAGGGAGGGCCACAUGAGGACACAGAGACGAUGCCUGUCUGCAGGCCAUGGGGGCCUCGGUAGGGACAUGUUCAUCGCGGGCCUGUAGCCCCAGGACUGGGAGAGAAUAAGUGUCUGAGCUCUAAGCCCCCACCUGUGGGGCUUUGUUAUGGCGGCCCCAGCAAGUUGUUCAGGAGCUAUGACACAUUGUAGUCCCCAGAUACUCGGGAAGGGGCGCUCACAGGUAUUCACGCAUCCUUCACCGCAGACUCUGGCAGGGGCCUCCGUCACGGCUCUCACCACCUCACACACACCCCUGCACGCACCUGCCGGCAUCUGCCUGCCGGUCUUUCCCUGAAAGGUUUAUGGUUCCAGCCGGAACAGUGUGAGGUCUCUCAGCGUAAACCAGAAGGACCAGAGCCGUGAGCCCCAGAGUGUGGAGGGCCGUGGCCUGGGUGCCGCGCUGGGCAGGUUACCUGCUACCCGUUCGGCCCCCAAGUCCAAGUGUUAGUGGCGACGUCACACCUGGCUCCGGAGAAACCCUUUCCCAAUCUGCCUUUGGACUCGUCACUUCCCAGCCGCUGCCCUGCGGCUUCCCCCGUCGGUGUUCUUCCUGUGUUUUCCGUCUUGUUUCUCAAAGCCUGGUCAGCCCGCUGAGAUUCGGAGCGUCCUGCUGUCCUCACACGGCUUUGCUGCCCCUUUUCUUCCCCUCGGCAGGGGUGAGGAGAGCCCGGGGUCCCACACUCUGGUCGCAGAACCCCCAGGCGGCUCCCCUUCCUGUACAUCCUCCUGGCCCUCUGACCAUCUCACCCAGGCCUGUGUCCCAGUGUAAAAGACCCUCUGCCCUCCUAAUCUGCCACCCUAUUUCUGAUUUCCAAGAGAGGAGAGCCCAGAAUUUCUUACUGAGUAGCAAUAUGGUUUAAGAUCACAGACCGUGAAGCCAGAGCGCCUGGACUUAAAUCCCAGCCUUCUACCGACAUGCUGUGUGACGUUAGACACACUGCGUAACCUCUCUGGGCUUCUGUUUCCUCGCUUGCAGGAGAGGAGUAAGCUGACUGCUCCCUGGUGGAGGGCAAAGCCCUUGGAAGGGCCCUGUCAGUCCACGGUGAGCAGUCGUCAUCAUUAGUCCCAAACCGCUCACGUGGGUGCCGCCACCGCUCAGAAGAAAGCGUUUGCGUGGUUCAAUCAGUGAGUGAGACACACAGCCUCCUCCCUGGCUUCCAGCCUCCCGCACUGUCCUGUGCCUCCGCCAGCCCGGAUGAGCACAGCAGCCUGGGGCCGAUCACGGUCGUCAAGUUUGUGCUGAAGACAGCGGGUUCUUUUCCAGGGCCGAGAAAAGGCCACGAUGGUGAGAUAAGCCCCAGAAAUGGACUGAAGAAAACGGCAAAUAAAGCCUGGAUUAUUGCACUGCUGGAGGUAAUGCAAACUGGUGCAGCUGGUCUGGAAAACAGUGUGGAGUUUCCUCAAAAAUUUAAAACUAGAACGACCCGACGACCCAGCAAUUGCACUACUAGGCGUUUAUCCACGGGAUACAGGUGUGCUGUUUCGAAGGGACACACGCACCCCAUGUUUGUAGCAGCAGUGUCAACAACAGCCAAAGUAUGGAAAGAGCCCAAAUGUCCCUCGAUGGAUGAAUGGAUAAAGAAGAUGUGGUAUAUAUAUACACAAUGGAGUAUUACUCGGCAAUCGAAAAGAAUGAAAUCUUGCCAUUUGCAACUACAUGGGUGGAACUGGAGGGUAUUAUGUUUUUUUGUUUUGUUUUUGUUUUCUAAUUUUUUUUUCCAUUUAUUUAAUUUUGAGAGACAGUGACAGAGUGUGAGCAGGGUAGAGGCAGAGAAACAGGGAGACACAGGAUCCGAAGCAGGCUCCAGGCUCCGAGCCGACAGCACAGAGCCUGACAUGGGUCUCGAACCCACGACCUGUGAGAUCAUGACCUGAGCUGAAGUCAGAUGCCCAACCGACUGAGCCACCCAGGCGCCCCUAGAGGGUAUUAUGUUCAGCGAAAUUAGAGAAAGACAGACAUCCUAUGACUUCGCUCGUGGAAUUUAAGAUACAGAACAGAUGAACAUAAGGGAAGGGAAGAAAAAAACAAUAUAAAAAUGGAGGGGGACGAAACAUCAGAGACUCUUAAAUACAGAGAACAGACAGGGUUGCUGGAGGGGAGGGAGCAGGGCUAAAUGGGCAAGGGGCAUCGAGGAGGGCGCUCGGGGUGAGCACUGGGCGUCACACGUAGGGGAUGAAUCACUGACUCUACUCCUGUAUCAUUACCGCACUAUAUGCUAACUAGCUUGGAUGUAAAUUAAAAAUUAAUUCAUUAAAAGAAGCAAAGCCUGGUUUAGACGAGCCACGCCCUGCUGUCCCCGUCUGUCCCCUCCUCCUUUGAAGAUUGUCAGGCACCUGUUGUGAUCAGAUACAGGCCAGCCAUGCGGGGGCGCCGAGCCGCCCCCGCAGGGUGGCGCUUGUGGGAGAAGGUGGCCUCCCACGCGCUGCCAAGGGUCGUGGUCUUGAACUUGAGGCUGUGGGAGCCGGCCAGGCUGGAGGA